rnacentral:rRNA from 1 species
UACGGGGGGGGCAAGCGUUGUUCGGAAUUACUGGGCGGAAAGGGCUCGUAGGCGGCCAACUAAGUCAGACGUGAAAUCCCUCGGCUUAACCGGGGAACUGCGUCUGAUACUGGAUGGCUUGAGAUUGGGAGAGGGAUGCGGAAUUCCGGGUGUAGCGGUGGAAUGCGUAGAGAUCCGGAAGAACACCGGUGGCGGAGGCGGCCUGCUGGGCAGUUGCUGACACUGAGGCGCGACAGCGUGGGGAGCAAACAGG